UGCUCAAGCUUCGCCGCUGACUGCAGCGCUAUCCCAGACCCUAGCGGGACGUUUUGGUACUAUCGGAUCGCGUGGUUUGGCAUGUCUCGAGGGUUUUCGCUAGGCGUUUCGCUGCCAUCUUCGUCGCUUCACUAGUUAUUUACGCAGGAGGAAUGGAGAAAAAGAAACGUAAGCCCGGCACACGAUACUGUUGCGUGGUUGGUUGUAGCAAAAACCUCAGGGCACGGACUAGCAAGUCUCUGCACUUCUACCGUUCCCCUGGCAAAGCGUACGAGACCCAGCGACGAAAAGCUUGGAUCGCGGCAGUGCGCCGACAGAACGAGGAUGGCUCCAAGUGGUUGCCGUCCCCAGCGACGAGAAUUUGGGUGCCCAUUUUGUGGACAACUGUAAGAACGACGCUGAGGCAAACCCCUCGUACAUCCCCACGAUCUUCCCACCUGUCUACAAGAAAAAGGCGCCCAAUGUGGAGAGGGCAACGAGGAGGCUGAAACGAUCCAGCCGCUGCCAACCCAUGCCACCUUCAGUGGGGACGCCUCCUGACCCUGACACGGUUUCUGAGCCAGAGGCGACAACAGAGGCCGAGAGUUCCAAUCGGGAUUCCUUUACGACACUCCUCCACGCGGCAGCCCAAGCUAUGCCUACGAAGUGCACGUCUACAGUGGUCCCAAGCACGGCCUCAAGCACGGCCUCAAGCACGGCUCCCAGCACGGCCCCAAGCACGGCCCCAAGCACGGCCCAAAACACGGCCCCAAGCACGGCCCCAAGCACGGCUCCAAGCACGGCCCCAAGCACGGUCCCAAGCACGGCCCCAAGCACGGCCCCUAGCACAGACAGAAAGUGACGACGGAGGUGCGGUUUCCUUGGGUUCCAGUCUCUCAAGGAUUCAGAGCAGGCACUGCAGGACCUAUGCGGUGUCACAAUGACUGUUUUCAGCCUCCUAC